rnacentral:rRNA from 1 species
GACGAACCGUGCGAACGUUAUUCGGAAUCACUGGGCUUAAAGCGCGUGUAGGCGGGACGGCACGUCUGUCGCUGAAAUCCCCCGGCUUAACCGGGGAACUGGCGUAGAUACGACCGUCCUGGAGGGGCGUAGGGGGACCUGGAACUUCCGGUGGAGCGGUGGAAUGCGUUGAGAUCGGAAGGAACGCCCGUGGCGAAAGCGAGGUCCUGGACCCUUUCUGACGCUGAGACGCGAAAGCCAGGGGAGCGAACGGG